AUUGAACGCUGGCGGCAGGCCUAACACAUGCAAGUCGAGCGGAUGAGUGGAGCUUGCUCCAUGAUUCAGCGGCGGACGGGUGAGUAAUGCCUAGGAAUCUGCCUGGUAGUGGGGGACAACGUUUCGAAAGGAAUGCUAAUACCGCAUACGUCCUACGGGAGAAAGUGGGGGAUCUUCGGACCUCACGCUAUCAGAUGAGCCUAGGUCGGAUUAGCUAGUUGGUGAGGUAAAGGCUCACCAAGGCGACGAUCCGUAACUGGUCUGAGAGGAUGAUCAGUCACACUGGAACGGAGACACGGUCCGGCCUCCAACGGGAGGCAGCAGUGGGGAAUAUUGGACAAGGGGCGAAAGCCUGAUCCAGCCAUGCCGCGUGUGUGAAGAAGGUCUUCGGAUUGUAAAGCACUUUAAGUUGGGAGGAAGGGCAGUAAGUUAAUACCUUGCUGUUUUGACGUUACCAACAGAAUAAGCACCGGCUAACUUCGUGCCAGCAGCCGCGGUAACAC
rnacentral:rRNA from 1 species